UACGUAGGGGGCAAGCGUUGUCCGGAAUCAUUGGGCGUAAAGAGCGUGUAGGCGGCCCGGUAAGUCCGCUGUAAAAGUCAAAGGCUCAACCUUUGAAUGUCAGUGGAUACUGCCGGGCUAGAGUCCGGAAGAGGCGAGUGGAACUCCUGGUGUAGCGGUGGAAUGCGCAGAUAUCAGGAAGAACACCCGUGGCGAAGGCGGCUCUCUGGGACGGUACUGACGCUGAGACGCGAAAGCGUGGGGAGCGAACAGG
rnacentral:rRNA from 1 species